rnacentral:lncRNA from 1 species
AAAAAACAACUCAAUUACAAGUGGCCCAAACGCUAAACCCAAUUAGCCAAAACCUAAGCCCAAAUACCCCUAGCCCAACUAGCCUAAACCAGAAGAAGGAAACCCUAAUGGCUGAGGCGCCGCUGCCAAGCUACUCCUCACGCACGAGCCUCCGUACGCGCACGCCCGCACACCUCCUUACGUGCCACAUCCGCGAGCCUCCACGUCCGCUCCUCCGUACUUGCACACAACGAACGCAACAAGGCAGAAAAGGCAGAACAAAAGAGCAAAAAUCGACAGCAAAAAAAAAAAAGAAAAAUAGAAAAAAGAGCAAAACACAUUUUCUUUUGUAAUUUUCAUUUUUUCGGCUAUAUAAAGCCAUUUUUCAACAUCUGUAAAGUUGACACACACAGAAUAUCAAUACAAAGACAAAAAAAAUAUUGAAUAGAAAGAAAGAGAUUCAGAAAAAUCAAAAACUUGAAAGGUGAUUGCAGAUUUCCUUUUUCUUUUCGUUCUUUCUUCUGCUUCGUUUUUUUAUACUUAUUCCAUAUUCAGUGUAAAAAAAAAUAAAAGAAAAUAGGAGUUAAAGAGUCAUAUACCUGGUGGCCGCAUCUUCUUUCUCUCCGUCGUCAUCGGAGUUGAAAAGGGGAUCAAAGAACCUGAGCAACAGAUUGUCAAACGGCGCAGGGUUUUCUUUAGUUUAAGUUUUAUUUUAAUAAAAAUGAUAGGUUUGUUUAGAGUUAUUCUAGUUUAAAGCGCAGGAAUUAAAACGUCGCCGUUCAGAGCCAAUACAAUGGCAUUGAAACGGCGUCGUUUAAAGACCCGAUCAGAGCGUUGACCCGAUCCGGGGAGGAUCCGCGCAUUCUGACUUAUUGGUCUAUUUGUGCUGAGAGUCCCUUUAUGUUUUCCUCAGUUUCAAUCAGAUUUCUUUCCAUUUUUCUUAAUUUGUAUUGCAUAUUUAACCUUAUUUUCAUUUAGAUCCAUGGUUAGGCGGCGUCGUUUUCACUGGUGAGAAUUGAGUUUCCAGAUCUGUGCGUCUAAUUUCUUUUUUAGUCCCUGUGUUUUGAAUCGAUUGCAAAUAUAAACCUUCAAAAAUCUUGAUUUUAAUUUAAAUCUUUUUUUUUGUUAUGUUCACUAUUAAUUUAGUAUUUUCUUUAAUUUUAUAAAUUUUUUAGUAUUUUCUAGUAUUCUUUUUGUUUUUUUAUAUCUUUUACUUACCUCUUUUCAUAUUUAUUAUUAGUAUAUUUCAUGAUUUUAAAUUUUUUUUGUAAAAAAGGACAUUCAAUUUUGUUUAUUUAUUUUUAUUUGUAAAUCAAAUUCUUUGUUUUAGUAUUUUAGAUUUGUUUUUUAGAUUUGCUAUAUUAUUAUUAUAACAUUGUUUCAUUACGAUACAUCAAUAUUUUAUCAUGUGUUCCUAUUAUAUAAUAUUAUUUUUAUAAUAAUUUAAUGUGUAUAAUCUAUCAAUGAUUUCAAGUUAUAUUCCUUUAAACCAAUUUCUAUGUAAUCUACUUAUUCAAAAUAUUCCAAUAUUGUAUUCAUUCCAAUGUAUUAUAUUAUUAUUUACAAUAUGCUUAUGAAAUAUUUAUUCUAGUUCCAUGCUUGUACAUUUUAUAAUGUUCACUUCAAAAUUCAUUCAAAUAAAGUUAUUUUAUUUAACAUCAUUCUUAAUUUUCUUUUAAAUCUACUCCAGACUCAAAUGUAUUGUUACUUUUUCAAAUCAUUGUUGAGAUGAUAUAUUUUUUACCUUAAUGUGUCUUUUGAAAUUGAUUAUUAGUUAUUUUAAUUUUCAAUUGUUAAUAUUGGUAUUUGCUUAAUGUGCUUAAAAUUAUUGUUGCUAUUCUUGUUUGAAUUUAUCUAUUGUUUGCUUAAUAUUUUUGUGUAUGAUUAGAUUGCGAGUUAUCCUAUUACAUUGUACAUUGGUGUUCAAUUAUACCAUAUUUGUUUAAAAAAUAAUGUUUUACAAAAGCAUUAUAAUCAUCUUAUUUCAAAAUUCCUAAAAGGGGCUUGGUGUUUAUGAGCUCUCGAGAGAAUUGCGCCCUAACUUACUGGGCUUCAAUUCUUCUUAAUGAGUUUAUAUCAUCAAGUACCCAUUUUAUUAAAACCAUACAAUUGUUAAAAUAAAACUCUUAAGAUUUCAAGAUGUUGGAUCCUAACUUACUGGAUGUGGCAUUUUAUUGUCUCGAUUUUCAAAAAUAAAGGCAAUAUUUGAGUUUUAAGAAUUUCGAGAAAUUGAAUCCUAACUCACUAGAUUCUGAUUUCUCGAUUGACUUAAACGAUCAAGUAACCUUCUUUAAACUCAUGAUUUUCAUAAAAAAAAAGGAACACAUUUAAUUUCGAAGAUAGAAUUGUAACACCCUAACUCACUGGGUGUGAUAACUUAUUUCUUCGAAAUAAGUGGUCUUAUCAUUCAAGCUAGUUCAUCCAAGUUUUCUCAUCAAGGAUCGUAUUUUUAAAAAUAUUUUCAAAAAUUUGACAAUAAAACAUUGAACAAUCAAAUCGGUACCAAUUUUGGGCGUUACGAGGGUGCUAAUCCUUCCUCGUGCGUAACCGACUCCCGAACUUGUUUUCUCAAAAUUCGCAAAUCUAAAAUUAUUUUUAAUGGUGAACCGGUCACACCUUAAUAAAAGAUCGGUGGCGACUCCCCAUUUCUAUUUUCAAAAUCAUCCUUUUUUUCGAAAUAUAAAAAAUAGUUUCGACAACUAUAUUAAAAUUUUAUUUGGAAGUUAAAAGUGUAAUUUUGUCUUCACUAAUAUAUAAUUUUAUACAUUUUAAAAGGUAAAAAAUGUAAUUUUUACACCCCCUCCUACUGCUCUUGAUGCCUAUCAUAUAGGGUCAAACCAAUGAGGUAUUGGCAUUGUUGGUAAAGGUUGUGUAACACUCCAACCCGUAUCCCUCGCCGGACCCGGGUUACAAAGUAUUACCGGAGAUUACAAAUCAAACAGACAGAAAUCUCAAACAUUUUAUAUCAUCAAAACAAGUCAUCAAAGCAUCAUUUUAAUCCAAAUUAUAAACUCUCCAAAAUAGAUUUUAUAACUUCAUUUACAAUCAAACCACAAAAUAACUAAUAUUUAGACACUCUAGGUACAUGCCGACACAAAGAAAUAAACAUCACCAUAUUUGAGUUCGGGAUCGUUCUUGGAUGUUGAAUCAGCGAUCAAACUUAAGUACUUAACCUGCGCAUGGAAAAUAAAACCGUACGCUGAGUAAAAACUCAGUGGUAUUUCUAUAAUCUAAAUAUUUAAAAAUAAAACAAUAAAAUAUGUAUAAUAAAAUGUCAAGCACAAUUAAACAUUUAAAACCAUACGAUACUCAAUUAUCAUCAUUUGCUAUAUAUAAUAGCUUUCCACAUUCAAUUUAUGAGUAUAUAACUCGUGUAUUCCAUGUAUUUACAACAUAUUUCACAUUCUAUUUUCAGUUUACUAUCUCAUAUUCUUAUUCUUAGCUCAAAGUAGAUUUUAUAGAACACACCGGAUAUACGAAACAAAUACAGAGGUGCAUUGUUAUGCACUAAUGAACAGAGAGCACUGAAGUGCUAUACAGAGAGCACAAAUGUGCUAAACAGAGAGCACUGACGUGCUAGUAAUCAGAGAGCACUAACGUGCUAAUAAUCAGAAAGCGCGCUAAAGUUCCUUAAUGGCAUGCCACUAAUAUUCUAGUAGUUCUAAAUUCCGUCUACUUGGGCAUUAAAAAUGAAUUUUAUACAUAUAAAAAAUAAUCCAAUUAUCAUAUUUGCACAAUUUCACAUUUACACACAUAUAUAUUCAUAAUAUAUAUUCCAAUUCAAUUCAACCAAUAUAAUUUCAUCACAUAUCAAGACAAUCCAUUUCAAUUGUAAAACACAAUAAUUCUCACCUCAAUCACUUACUAUAACAUUUAAUCAAAAUACAAUAAUUAAUAAUUAGAUUCGGAUUAUAAAAAUACAAACUAGGAAUUCCGAGCUAUUCAAUGUUGACUAUAUUUUUCCCCUUUUUAGUCGAGAAUUCCGGUAUGACGCUAGCUACGGAAUUAAAACAAUUAAAAAUCAUCAAUACAACACCAUUCAAUCUCAUAUUAAAUAUUUAAAUUUUUACUCAUAUUUGCCUAAAUUCCAAUUUAGUCCCUAAACCGAGACUAACUUUUAUUCUCAAAACUAAUUUCAUAUUUUCAUUCCGUUCCCACUUUAAACUAAUUUAACUCUCUAAUUUCACCAUAAAUUCUUAAUUUCGAAAUUCUCUCAAUUUAGUCCCUAUUAAUUCAAAACCUAUAAUUUAUUUUACAAUUUAAUUCAUUUCUCUAUUCUAACUUGAAAUUUUAUCAAUUUAAUCCCUAAUUCUUCAAUUAAUUCAACAUGAACAACAUCUAAAAAUUUACUAACUUUCAAAAUUUCAACUUAAAUCAAGUAGUAUUUUGUUCUAGAAUUCCAAAAACAUCAAAAUUAUAAGAAUAGGAACUAAAUUGACUUACCGAUCAAACCUUAAACCUUGAAAUCCCAAAUUUUCUUUCUUUCCUUCCCUUUUUCUUUUUCUUUCCUUUCUCCCCCGUUUUCGUUUUGCUAUUCUGUUUCUAUUCUCUUUUUCUAUCUUUUAUUUCUUUUAUUUAAUUAAUAAUAUAAUAAAUAAAUAUCUUUUACUUAAUUAAUAAGUAUGUAUAUAUAUUAAUUACAAAUGUAUACAUAUAUUUAUUACACUUGUCAUUUUUUAUGGUUUAAUUAUUAGUUUAGUCCUUUCACCUUUUUUUAUUUUAUAAUUAACUUUCACACUUAAUUCAAUUUAGUCCUAAUACUCAAUUAACUUUAAUUUAACUAAAUUCACUUAACUAAAAUCCAAUUGGUGAUAUAACUAAUUCUACAAAUAUUUUUAAUAAUUAUUUUACGAUUCCGUUUUACCAAGACGGAGACCCGAUAAUUCACUAAUUCAAAAGUAUUUUUAAAAUCACGCUUAACUUAUAAUUAUUAAUUAAUAAAUUUUUCUAACUUUUUCAUCGGAUUUAGUGAUCUCAAAUCACUAUUCUGGCACUAUUGAAAAUUGGGCUGUUACAGGUUGAGUUAUCAGAUUCUGAAAGUUUGGGCUUGAGUCUCACCAUUUGAAAUUCCGAUGUAUGAAUCUCCCUCUAGUCAUGUACGUGCAUGCCUUGUGUAGGUUUUGUUCGAUUUCCAACUUUUUUUCCAUAUUAACUUGCCUUUUGUCUUGUACUUGUUAUAUUAGUGGAACUUAAAAAAAGUUAAUAUAACUUUUAAUCUUUGAACUUGGUAAUUAAGUUCACUUUGAUGCCAAUUUUUUUUUUCUAUUUUAUUACCUAAAAUUGGCAAUUAAGUCCAUUUUGAUCCUUUAACUUGAAUUCUAUAAAAUUUUAAUGAUGUAGCACUCAAAGAUCAUGUCAUAUCAUCAAACUUUUUUUUAUUUACCAAGUUCAAAAAUUAAAAUGAAUCUAAUUGCCAAAUUCAAAUACCAAAAUGAAGUUAAUUAACUGAAGUUAGAAAAAACUCAUGAGACAAUAACACAUUCUUUUGCACAUAAGAAGUAUGCAAGCAAGUUAAUGGGAUGUGCUUUCGAAAGUACAAUGUAGCUUCUUUUUCUUUUAUGUGUAGAGAAAAAAAUUAUAAGUAGAAUUAUUUCAAUUUAUAGUUAUAUUAAUUCUUUAAUCAUAUUCGACAAUUUGAUUGCUGGAUAUAUGUUGUUGUCGUCGUCGUCUUCAACACAAACAAGUUGGCCCCUUUAAAAGGUUAUCAAAACUUUUGGGCUGUUUCUUUGUUCUUUGCAUCCAUUUUAAUUGCAAUUAGAAAUGGAUUUUUAAUUGUAUUCUGUUUAUUAUUAUUACAGAUAUAAUAAAUAUUAUUGUAGAAAAUCUCAAAAAAAAAAAUCAAUGUUCCCAAACAAGAUCAAAGUGCCAGAACAGAACCCUGAUGAAGGAACCCCCACACCCUUAAAAAUGAAGGGUACUGACCUAGACAAAUUUGAGGGGUUCCCAUAAUUGGAGGACACCUUUCCAUUGCAUUAAAUCCAUAGGGAUUCAUUCACUUGCUUUAGGUAAGGACCGACUUUCAAAGGGACAAAUUAGGGUCCAUCCAAUUCUUCUGCUGCGACAUGCAUAAUUUUUCACAUAUUAUAGGCAUAAUGUUAAAUUUAGCUCUCAAUAUUUUUUUUUUGUUAAUUUAACCUAUAUUUUUUUUAGUUAAAUUUGAUUGUUAACUUUUUAAAUAGAGUCAAACUUUUUUUCUUUAACAGAAAUAAUGAUUAAAACAUUAAUGAUACGAGACUGUUUAUCUUAUAUGACACACUAAAAAUAUUUUAAAAAUUAAAAAAAAAUAGCAUGGAGUUCAUUUUGAUUGCUAUACUUGCUGUCAUAUUUUAAAAUUUAAUAUUUUAGUCAGUAUUUCUGUUAAAAACAUCAAUUUGACUCUUUCGAAGGUUAAUGCUCAAAUUUAACUCUUUUUAAAAUAUAAUGAAUAAAAUUUAACUAAAAAAUAAGGUUCAAAUGUUAAAAAAUGUAAACAUUAAAGACUAAAUAUAAUAUUAUAUCUAUUUUAUAAUGUACAUAAAUAUACGUUAGUUGGACAAAACCGCGUGUGUUUUAACAAUGUGUAUCCUCCCAUCCACCCUACCUACCACCUUUUUCAGUUCCUCAUGUUGUGGUGUACAUGUCUAGAUAAUGUCAUUGAAAGUGAGUUUUAAUCAAUGAUAUGGUUUUAAAUUUUUUUCCUUAUUUUUGGUGCGAAUUAAUUGUUUUACGAACAUAAAUAAUAUAUAUUAGAUAUAUAGAAUAUCUAAAAUUGGAGUAACAUAAAGAAUAGAUUUAGUUAAAAAAUGUUAAAAAACAACUCUUUUAAAGAAAUUCAACGUAAUUAAAUUUAACUAACAUAAACCAAUUUAAGAGAUAACUUAUUAUUUGUCACAAAGUAAAUUAUUUUCACGAGAAAGAUUUAGUGAGUGAGUUAAAUAAAAGAUUAUACUUAUUGAUUUAUAAUGUAGUAGUCUCUAAAAAGUUUUUGAACUGCAUAAUCAAAUUUGUAAGUGUUAAUUAAUUUGUCCGGUUGCAAAAUAGGAAAGAAAAUCCAAUGCAUAUACAUGAAAUUAUGCGAAAUUUGAACAAAUAAUGAGAUGAAGUGGCAGUGCUUUGAGGUCAGGAUGUUGUGCAAAAAAACAAAUGGAUAUGCUGAUAGCAGCGGAGACAUGGGAGGGGAUAAGUUUGAGUUUGGUCUUUUAUGUUCUGGUGAACUGAAUUUUGCACAUGCACGCGUGCAUGCAUGAUUAUAACUUGUGAAACAAAUGAGUCUAGUUUCAUUGUAAAUUUGACUUGAUUUGAAAUUACAAGUUCUUUGCUGAAAUCCAAGUUCAUACAUGAACUUGACCUAAAUCUUUUGAUAUGGUUUUACAAGAAGGAAGUUUGCUUAUGUGUAGUUAUUCAAGAGUUUAUUAUACUAAAUAAGCAAUAUAAUAUUUAAUGAAUUUAAAGUUUAAAAUUACUAUUUUUUUGAUAAAUUAUAAUCGAAUUUUAUCAAUUGUCAAGGAGAGGAUGACUCUUUUUAAAAAAAUCUUCAAAGUGCCGUUUAUUCCGAAAUCAAUGGAAUUACAAUCCAAUUCGAUGAAGCGUGUGAAUCUCGUCUUUAAUUCGAGUUCUCAAAAAAAUCGAGAAAUAAAAUCUUGACUUGACUGGAAAUAAUACUAACAUGUUGAGAGAUUUAUCUGCUAAGAACAAACUAUACUCAGAAGCUUUUCAAAAUAAAUCCGCCCCCAUUGUAUCAUUAUAAAGAACUUAUAAAGAGAACCUUUUUUGUUUUCCCUUGUAUCAGUACUGCAACUGAGAUAAAAGAAGACCCAUUUUCUUUCCAUAUCAUUUAAAAUAACAAUAACAAUAAUAAUCAUCAAUGAUACAUGCCUUUUUAAUUGUUUCCAUCUAAUAUCAAUGGCAGAAGAAUUAAAGUGAAUGCAUUUCUUUCUUUCUUUUUAUGAGGAAAAAAAUACUUUUAACCUUUUAUAAAUCACGUAUGUGGAUGAAUUAGUUUUAGUUGAAUUUGUUUGAUGAUUUAAUUAUUUAGUUCAAUGACAGGAUUAUAAGUUAUGAUUUAAAACAAAAUUGAAAUACAAGAAAAAAAAUUGGUAGAAAAAUAACAUUAAACAAUUACAUCAAAAAUUAAUUAAACUCGUGUAAAGGCAUCACUAUCAAGCAGCAAAACUUCUUGUAUUACAUCAGCAUUCUGAACUCUCUGGCGAAAUCUUUAAUCUUCCAAUCUCAUUUGAAUAAGCUACUGAUUAAUCGUAAUUCAACUAGACUACUAUUGGCAGCGCCGCCCUCCAGUAGAGACUCCACUAGAAGCGCAUUAUUGCAUUCUAAUUUUAGCUGCCUGUAACCUUUUUCCCAUGCUAUGGGUAAGCCUUCAAGCAUGGCUCUUGCUUCAAUCCAAUUAAGGUUUAUCAAAAAUUGAUCAUAUAAAUGAACAUGGUGCCAAUAAUAAUAUUCAUAAAAUUGUUUUGGGUCUUUUGAAAUGGAGUUGGAUUGUUGGUAAUGUUGGUUUGGAUUUUCAAUUGAUCUGGAAGAGGAAGAUCAGUUAUGGAACAUCAUAGUUAGCAUUUUGAAACAUGUUCAAAAGAAAAUUCAAGAAAGUAAUAGUGAGGUGAAAAAAAUGGAAGCUAACUUGGAGUCCAAGAAUGCAAUAUGCUCAUUCUCAUUAUCCUUGAUCGGCAAGCAAUGAUAGGAUGCUUGGUAGGAUUUUGGCAAUGUCAAAUCUUGUUUGAUGUACUGUUUAUAUGCUAAGAGUUAUGAUUUGAUAGUAUCAUCAUUUUAAUUAUGAAGUUAAAGGUUCAUUUCUCGUCCAUAGAUCCAUGAGAAUGAAACACAUUUUAUGGAGUGCAACGAGAGAAUUAGUCACCGCUAUCAGCGGUGAAAACCUUUGUUUUGAUCCAAAAAAUAUUUAUUAAUAUUAAAAUUUUUAAAUUUUGAUAGUAAUUAUGGGUUGAAAUAACAAAAUUGUUGUAAUUAAAUUUUAAAUACAAAUAUAUCUUUUAUUGAUAAAUCAUAAAUCAAAAUUAACCUUUUUUUUUUUUUUAUUUUGAAAAACUUCUUAUUUUAUCAUUACCUAAUUAAGACCCAACCGAUUUAAAUUAGUCUGGACUAGGAGUUGACAAUUAAUAAUGACAAGCUUGAUUGGGAUGUACACGUGGAAUAUUUCCAUAACCUGAUUGGCCUUGUGGGUAUUUGAGUUAAUUUAAUCAAACAUUUCACAUUAUUGGUCUCUAAAUUUCAAAAUAUUCUAAUAAUAUCUUCAAAUUAUCGAUGUUAUAUUAAUCAAGUACUUUCAUUUUAAAAAUAUUAUUUAACUGUUAAAUGAUACAUCAAAUCUUGUGUAGUAUAAUUUAAAAUGAAAUUAAAACAUUGCUACAUAAUUUUUAAAAGUAAAAACUAAAAAUAAAGUAAAAUAGAAAACAUAAAUUAUGUAUUAGAUAAAAGUUUGAGAAAACUCAAAAUCAAGAUUUUUAAAUCUUCCAUUUUUAGGGGCGAAGCUAGAAAUUUUUUCAGGGGAGGGGGGAGAUUGAGUUAUAUAUUUUUAUAAGAAUUAAAAUUUAAUUUCACCAUUGUAUUGACAUAUAUCUUUAUAGUUUUAGAAGGGUUAAAUCAAGAUUCUAUCAUUUUUAGGGGACAAAUUAUAAUUUUACUAUUUACUUACUUAAAAUUUUAAAAAAACUUUAAGAGCUAAAAGAAUAAUUUUCUAUUUUAGGGAGUUCAGGGCUUUGUCUGUCCCAUUUCUGAAAUAUGUAUUUUUUUUUAUAUUAUGUCAUAUAAGAUCUAACAUUUCAAUUAACAAUUUUAAUAAUUGAAAAACUUUAUUAAUAUACCUUUAAUAGCUUCAAAAUUGUAAUUAAAAUGUUAUCAAAAUGAGAAUCAUAAUUUGUGAUUCUAUUUUGAGAAUAAAGUGGUUUCAAUUUUUGAUAUAAAGUAGAUAUGAAAAUUGAAUGGAUUUUUGUACCUUAAAGAUGGAUGGAUAUAUGAUUUUUACAAGCAAAUUCGAAAAAGAAAAGUUGAAAAUACUGAAGUAAAAGGAAGAAAGUGACAGACGGUGGUGAAGCCACGUCGAAGCAUCCAUGACCGUUCAUGGUUGAAUCAAAAAGGGUCCCUUCCCGACAACAUGAUCCAUCUUCAUGGGACCUUUUGUCCUACCUUCAUUACUCUUUACAUCUACUCAUGUCUUAUUUUCAAACUCCUAACUUGUCUCUAAUUACAACUCAUAUCAUCUACUUCUGCUCUUCAUUUUCUGAAGUAAAUUUCAGGUUAAGAAAAAGGUUUUCCGAAUAUCCGAAGCAUUCAACAGUUCCUUCCGCUACUCAAAUUCAAGCAAACUUGAGAGGGUCCUUAGCGGCCCAAUUAAAAUUUUCUCUGAUACUGGACCUUAGCUACAACAGUGAAUUGGGCUAAGAUAGCUUCUGCCACCCUAUUUUGGAGACUUUAUUCUGCCCCCUCUCUGACAAAUAGAAGAUACAUUAUGUCAAUAUUCAAAAAAAAAAAGAAGAUACAUUAUGUCCAAUAAGAAUGCUUAAAAAAUAUUAGUAUAAAUACUUCAUUGUUGUAUUCAAAUAUGUUUAACAUGGAUAUUUAAGAAUAUGGAUAAGAUGGGCAGCUCCAAUCACCUUAUAAUUGAACAUGCAAUGGAUUUGGGGAGCCAUAAUCCAUGCCAGGUAAUGUGUAUAAUUAUGUUUGGAAUAUAUGAUGAAAUUUAUUUAAAGCUCAUAAUUAAUUUCUAUUAUUAUUAUUAUUAUUAUUAGAAACAGCACAAGCCAGGUUUUAUGCUUGAAAAAAAUUGAUGCUAAUGAAUGUGAAAAUUACAUCCAUUCAAAAUCCAAUGUUGAUGAGCUGGUAAGAUAUUUGUUAUACAGGAAAUCCCUAUUUUUUCAUUCAUUUUCAAAUUAGUAUACGUGUUUUCACUAAAAUUAACCAAAUUUGUUGAGAAAAAACGAAAAGAAAAUUCUGUAUCUAUUUAAGAUUUUCAAAAAAAUCAUUAAAUUAUUAGUAAGUUUAUGUUUUUGUCACUCAAUUUUAAAAAAAGUUAUUGAACUAUUCGAAAGUUUUCAUUUAAGUCACUAAGCUAUUAAAAUCGAUGUUGUAUGGUCUUUUUUAUUCGCACCGCCUACACCAAUUGAAAGCUUUCAUUUCUCUUUUCUUCUACAGUUCAGUCUUUUUUUCAUGAAAUAGCUUUGAACGUAAUGAAUCUGCAAACCAAAAUUCAAACAGCCUUUUUCUUCGAUAUCUAUCAUUGAUUGUCAGAUUGAUUUGAAUCUAAGGUAUAUUCUUUCACUCGCCGAAGGGUAUUGAUCCACCGUACCGAUUGUCGAAUUGUCGCUUAGAGAUCAUUAGCCGGACUUUUAAAAAAAAAAAACUUAACCGCUCAAUAACUUAAAUAAAAACCUUCGAAUAGUUUAAUAAUCAUUUUACAACUUUUCAAAGUUGACUAAUAAUUUAGUGAUUUACCAAAAAAAGAAUUUCACUUCAAAUAAAUUGUAUUCUAUCCCUGCUAAAUAAACCGAAUACUGGACCGGUUUCCUUUAUGUUUGAAUGCGUGAUGGAGCCCUUGAUUAAAAGCAUUGAAAGUGAAACCGCUGAACACCAUUGAUAUCCAAACAAAGAUUGUUUCAGCUCCGUAGUUGUUCACUAUAUAAGUCGUUCUUUUCUUCCUUUAUUUCAGGGUGUUCAUGGCGUUUUCUUCCAUUGAAUUCUCCAUAAUAGAACAGAUUAUUCAUUUGAUAUGAGAUCGAUUUGGUGCAACUAUUCCUUCAUGAUCUACUUCAACCAAACUAAUCUCCCUCUCAUAGUUUAAUCAAAGGGUGUCAAGUAAAACACUGAGUACUCCUAAUUAUUCAAGCUUAUUAAAAAAAUUUGUAUUUAAUUCAUUACUUAUCAAGGUGGGUUAGAGUUAUUGAUUUUGUGGAUUUCGAGUUCUCAAUUCAAAUGCUCGCAGGCUUUUUAUUUUAAUCUAUUUUUAUGUUAUGAAAUUUUGUUUUUGUUUAAUAUAUUAUUUAGUGUUCGAGUUUGACACUUUUUUCUAAUGUGAUACAUGUGUUAAUUUUUGGUCUAAUUCGGUGCCAGUUUUUGACAAAUUUUAUAUAUUUCGAUAUCUAAAUGUAAUAAUGUUAACUUUUUAGUAUUUAAUUAGGUUUUUAAGGUUGAUUUGAUAAAGUUAAUUGCUUAGAUUAUCAAGUUUGAAGUUUUCAUGAUUUUUUUAAUAGAAUAAAUUUAGUGUUAAUUACAAUUUUUUUUUAUUUUUGCGCUUAAUUUGUCAAAUACAAUCUGAUGAAUGUAAUUUAACUUGGGUAUUAGGACUGAUUUGAUAAAAGUUAAUGCUAAUAUUAAUUGCUAAAUAUGAAUUUUCAUCAAAUCAACUCUAAAAUCUGAAUUAAAUACUAAAAAAUUAAUAUCAUUAUCUUCAGGUACCAGAAUGUAUCACAUUGAAUCAAAAAAUAACUUAGGUAUCAUGUUAGAAAGAAAAGUCAAACUCAGGUACUAAAUUAUGCAUUAAGCCUUAUAUUUUUACUCGUUUAAGAACAAAUCAGCUUAAUUAACUUGAAUUCAAACUUGAAUACAAAAAUUAAUAAAUGAACUUAAUCAAACUCGAGUCAACUUGAAUAUCAAACUCCAAAUUUCAAAACAAGCUUAAAUUACCCUAAUUUAAAUUUGAAUAGACUCGAUUGCACUUUUAUCAUUAUCAAUUUUGUUAUUUCCAUUGUAGUCUUAACUUAUGGGGAUUUGAGUAUAUAUAUAAAAAUAUGAAUCUCAAGAAAUAAAAAAUAUAUUUGUACCAAAUAUAUUUUUUAUGAUAUAAGUAUGUUUAAUAAAUGUUAAUUGAGUUAGCUCAAUUAGCAUCGGCAUUGUUGUUAGUGUAGGAAAAUAUGGGUUCGAGUGCGCUAAAGUGUGCUUAUCCUCCUAUUUAAGAGUUGAGAAAAGGUUAUGAGUAGUUCUAGACAUUAUAUCAAAACAUAUAUAUGCUUAAUAAAUGUUUAAUUAGGCAACUAAUCCCUAUAUUGUUUGAAAAUUUAAAGUUUAGCCUUCUUAUUUUUAAUUAGAGGAAUUUUUAGCAUUAAUUCUGCUUGUAUGACUUAAAAAUUAAAGCUUAAUUGGUAACAUUAUCAAUGAACUUUCAUUAAGUUAAUUUGAACAUGUGACAUUUUACUAUUAAAAGGUUUGAUUAAACUUGCAUUAAUUUAAUGAAAGUCAAUUAACGGUAUUAUCAAUUGGAUUUUAGUUCUAAAUCAGACAAAUCGGAUGAUCAAAUUCUUGAGAUUAUAAUGUUAAAUGAGCAAAUUGAAAUCAAACAUUUAAGGGGUCGUUCAUGUAAGGGUUAAAAUUCUCGAAUGUGCUCAAAUAAAAGUUUUUUACACAUUUUACUCCAGUUAGCCUGGAUUGACUUGAGCCGGGUUGACCUAGCUUGAAAUUAAAUAAAUUAAAAUUUUAAAAUAUUAUAUUUAAAUUUAAUUAUUGGAAUAUUAUAAAUAUUAAGAUAAAAUUAUAUAUUUUUACUAUUUUUAAUAAAACAAUAACAAAAGUUGGAUAUCUUUUUGGGUAUAAGUAAGAAAAAAGGAUUUGAUUCACCUACCUAUCUCCUUUUAAAAACACAAAAGCUUAAUGAUCUUUUUGUCACCCACUAAACUGAUUCGGUAAUCCUCUUUGGUUUUAGUUGAAGAUUAAGUAAAUCACUCUUUUGAUUUCCAGACAAUCACAUUAAAUUACGGACUUCAGAUUUUUUUAAAACGAAAUAAAACUAAUCUUUGACUUGAAAAUCUUUCACAUUAUAAAAAAAAAAAAUCAAAUUAAUGUAUUGUUAGUGAAAUAUUUUAAUAUUUAAAUUUUAUAAUUAAAACAAAUAAUUUUUUAAUAUAUAUUAUUAUGAGGUUUAGACAUUAGAAAGGAAAGAGUGGGUUGGUCAGCCCCCACCAUGGUGUCGACUGUCCCAUAUACCACCAACAUUUGGAAUAAUAGUAUUGUGAAGGAGAUUCGCAUUGAUGCAUAUAUAUUUACGUUUUUGUAGGUCCAUAAAUUAAUAAACUAGAUUAGUGGUCAUGAUUAAUAUGUUUAAUUAGGUUAUGGACGGUCAAUGUGACAUGUCUACGUCGUUAGGAAAGAUUAUAUCUAAAGUUAAAUAAAUAAAUAAAGGUCGACAUAAUAAUAAUCUAAACUUGUUGAAUUCUAGCUUAAUCCUAUAAAAGGGUGGAUCGAUAUUUUCAGGGGUCAAAUUGGGAACGGUCUUAGAUAAAAUCCACCAUAAUAACUUUUUAAUACGUUUUAAAUUUUAUUAUAAGUGAAUUAGGUUGAGACUGGAGAUUCCGAACACAGAUACAUGGAAAUUGGAUCAAACCCUAAAUUCAAUAUGUAUAUAUAUGGGGAAUAUAUAUUAUCAUUUAGUUUAAUUAGAAUCUAUAAGAGAUUUCUUUUAUCCUUCAAAUUAAACCAAAUAUGAAUGUCAAUUGAGCUUAAAAUAUAAGCAUCAAUUAAAAUUUUGGAAAAUAUCUACAAAUAUAACUAGCUUAGCAUGCACCCCUAUAUGAAGGCAGAUAUAAGUAGAUAAGCAUAUGAAAAUCACUUUUGAGAGGAAAAAACAAUAUUGAUAUUUUGUACUCUCCCCUCUCUUUACGGUCAUCCAUGGCAUUUUUUGUGGCAACAAAACCAACCACAUGACAAAUAUAGAUCUUAGUUUUUUACAUUUGGACAACUCCCCCAAUAUUCUCUAAAAAGCCUAUUUUAUUGCAUUGUAAAUAUACGUGUAUAUCCAAAGAUAGAGUGUCACUUUCUUGAGCAGAUAAUUAAUGAUAUACUCGUCGUAUGAAUACAAAAAUUGUUAAAAUCUCAUCAUACACAUUAAUACUCUCAAAAUAAUAUUUAUUUAUUUAUAAAAUAAUAUAUUUUUUUAUAAUUUCACAAUUGAAUUGGAACUCAGUUGAUAGGUAAGACUAACUCAACCAAUUUUUUAAUAAUAAUAUAAAUUUUGUUUUUUUUUUUUUUAAAAAAAACUUUAAAAGGAGAAUGUAGAAAGAAGCUUCUUUGUAUUAUUAUAUGAUAAUGACUUUACCAAUGUCCAAAUGAUGAAAAUUGGAAAGGGUAUAUUUUUCCCACUUACCAUCUUUCUAUUUUUCUCUUCCAAAAAAUAGUUAUUAGCCAUGGAAAUUUCAGUCAAACAAUAUGGCGUGUAAGUAGAUCAUGUAUCACUUUAAUAAUCUAAACCAUAAAUGGACAAUGUAUAUGAUAAUGAUCAUAUAUAUGUAUAUAUCGAUAUGAUAUGAAAAUGAUAGAGGCAAGUUAGGAAGAAAGGAUCCAAAAUGAAUGGGGAUGGGGAUGUUGACAUGGCAAGGGUACAGCUUGGGUUAGGGAUGUUUCCUUCUCUUAGGGGAUGUGACCUGUCUCUAAGUCACCACCAUGCCCUUCUACGACCUUUACAAGCACUUGAUGUUCACAUGUAACUAUUUCUAUUCAUAUAUACAUAUAUAUAUAUAUGUAUGUAUACAUUAUUUAUGAAAAUCUUUUACACAAACUUCAUUUAUAUAUUUUUAUAUGAUUAAAUGGAAAACUUUUAUGAACAAUACCCAAAAAUUUGAGGAUUUAAUUGUUUUUAGAAAUGCAUGUGGCAUUAAUUGUAGGGGUGGGCAAGUGUCGGUUAAAUUAAGUUGCCUUGCAAAUGCAGUCAUCAAUAUAUUUAUUUUAUUUUCUGUUCUUUAAGUCAAAAACUUUUUUAAGAGAAUUGGUAAGUAGGAAAAAAAAAAGAAUAAAAAGACUUUAGGUUAAAAUUGGAGACAAAACCAUUUAUUUUAUAUUUUUGUAGACAUACUUCCGCUUUAUAAGAUAGAUAAAUAUGGUAUCUGUUGAAUUGCAUGAGAUGAAUUAUUGGUUCAUGUGAGAAUGUGCAUAAUUGGAAGGUUCUUAGAAGUAUGUUAACUAUAUAAUAAUAUGUUAUCAUUUUUUAAUUUCAUAUACAAUUAAUAUAUAAUAUGAGAAUAGGGUGGUGCAUAAUCAUAUGCUCCUCCCAACACCCAACUAAUAAAUAUGUGCUUGAAAAUAAAAAUAAAAAUAAACUUUCAUAUGCAUUGAAUUUUUAAGUUUUUGCUGCUUCUCCUUAUGCCUACAAGAUUCAAUUUUCAUAAUGGUUUUUCAAAAUUAAUGAGUAAAUAUUUAUAACUUUUAUAUAUAUAUAAUCAUUAAUGUUUUUAAAUUAUUAUUAUAUGGAUUAGUAUUGAUAAAUUAUUAAUAGUUUUUUAAUAAUAAAAAAAGAGAUAGAACGAAUUACCAUAUAUCAAAGCUCUUUUUGACAUAAUAUAUAUCUAGAAGUGCUCAUAGUUACUCCCCAACUCAUAAUUAAGAAGAUAAUGUGCUUUAGCGCACUCGAACCCACAUCCUCUUAUAUUAGCAAAAAUGUUCAUACCAAUUAAAUUAAGGAUCAAUCAACUAUUUAAAUUUAUUUUAAUUUGUAUAUGAAUAAUUAAUAGGAAUAUUUAUCGAUUUUUUUGUUUGAUGAUAAUUGUAUGCAUUUUUAAAUAAAUAUAUAUAUAAUAUCAAUUCAUACUCUCCUAUUAAAUAAAAAUUGAAGCAUGAUGUCCCUCCAAAAGAAAUUGAAGCAUUGUGUGAAUGAGGUAGGCUGUUAUUUAGAUUUGAACUUUAAUAAAAAAAUUUAGGGGCUAAAUUUAGUUAUAAACUUUUAAGAAUUUAAAAAAUAAUUUUAUCAUUAUAUUAAGUCAUAAUUUUAUAAUUUUUAAAGAGAUUUAAUAACAGAUAUAUUAUUAUUAGAAUUGGAUAAUAUCGAUUUGAAUUGAAAAUCGAAGAAGGAAUGAGUGGAUAAAAAAUCAAUCCUGGUAAAAACUGGAUUAAAACCGUUUAAAUUGAAUUUAAACUAAUUUAGAAAUUUAAAUUUGAUGUUAUAAUUUAUAAAAUAAAUAUUUGUGUUUAUUUCUUCGAAAUACAUAUACAUUUGCAUGUGAUAACAUAGUUGACCAAUUUACAAGCCUUCCCUUCAAGAAUCGAAUCACGUUCAUCAAUGGAAGUCGGUUUUUUGUGUGGGGGAGUAUUGAAGAUCCAACGUCCCAUCUCGUUCCACGUGUUGAUAAACCAUUGAUCAUGAAUUUGAUGUGACAUACACAUGCAGCCAUACGAGCUUCGCCCCCACAGUUUAUAUUAUUGAGGGGUUUCGUUCUUUCUCUUUGUCUCCCCCCCCCCCCCCAAUUUUCACAUAAUACCAUAACCAAACCAAACCAAACAGAUCAAAGAACAAGGAGAAACUGAAGCCAAAGCUAUACAAAUAGGAUCUAAAGAUAGAUCAAAGAAAAGGGUCGAAGCAAGUUGUUUUGUUUCAAUGGAAGUUGGUCGAAAAAUGGCUAACAUGCUUGGAACUGACCAUGAUUUGAACUUCAAAGAGACCGAACUGUGUCUUGGUUUGCCCGGUGGAAUCGCUGUUGUUGCUGCAGGUAAUGAAACGGAAAGUUCUUCUUCCCCAAAGACUAAUGGCAAGAGAGGCUUCUCUGAGACUGUUGAUUUGAAGCUUAAUCUUCAAUCCAAAGAAUCUACCAUGGAUCUAAACAAGAACCUUGAUGACAAUGGUUCUAAGGAAAAAUCAGGUUCUGCCAAAGAUCCUGCAAAACCUCCUGCCAAGUAAGUCAUAAUUAUAAGACCGACCAAACCCAGUUUUUGUUUAGGGUUCUUUUUUAACAUGGGUCUUUUGUUUUACAGGGCACAAGUGGUGGGUUGGCCACCAGUUCGAUCAUAUAGGAAGAACAUAAUGGCUAACCAGAAGAACAGCAGUGAAGAAAGUGGGAAUAGUGGUGCAGCUUUGGUGAAAGUGAGUAUGGAUGGUGCACCAUAUCUGAGAAAAGUUGAUUUGAAGAUGUAUAAGAGUUACCAAGAGUUAUCCGAUGCCUUGGCUAAGAUGUUU